GUGCUCACUUUGGCAGCACGUAUAUUAAAAUUGGGACAAUACGGAGAAGAUUAGCAUGGCCCCUGCACAAGGAUGACACACAGAUUCUUGGUGUUAGCUUGAUAGCU
rnacentral:snRNA from 1 species